UACGUAGGUGGCAAGCGUUGUCCGGAUUUAUUGGGUUUAAAGGGUGCGUAGGCGGUCCUUUAAGUCAGUUGUGAAAUACGGCAGCUUAACUGUCGAGGUGCAAUUGAUACUGAGGGACUUGAGUACUGAUGAGGUAGGCGGAAUGGACGGUGUAGCGGUGAAAUGCUUAGAGAUCGUCCAGAACACCGAUAGCGAAGGCAGCUUACUAAAGAGUAACUGACGCUGAGGCACGAAAGUGUGGGGAUCAAACAGG
rnacentral:rRNA from 1 species